CGACCUGAAAUAAGGUCGAAUUCCCUGCUGACCGAAACAUUCGGUCAGCAGAAGAAAAGAAUUAACCAAGGCUUCCCCUAGUAACGGCGGGUGAAGAGGGGAAGUCGCAAAUGUGCAUGUAGUAGUACGAUUGUUCCGUCAUUGAUCAGACGGAAAUCUAGAGCAGACGAGUAGGCUAUUCGCAAGAAUGAUAGCCAAAGAAAUUGGUAUGGAAGAAGUAGCAAGAAAAGAAGACCUUGUUCAGCAUGACAUGGUAAAAAAACAUAAGUAGUGUAGAUAGGUGGGAGCUUCGGCGCCAAUGAAAAACCACCGCCACUAUUCUUAGCGUCUUUUUAUUGAAAUGUCAUGGG
rnacentral:ncRNA from 1 species